CCUACGGGAGGCAGCAGUGAGGAAUAUUGGUCAAUGGGCUUACGACUGAACCAGCCAAGUCGCGUGAGGGAAGACUGCCCUAUGGGUUGUAAACCUCUUUUGUCAGGGAGCAACGCCGGCUACGUGUAGCCGGACUGAGAGUACCUGAAGAAAAAGCAUCGGCUAACUCCGUGCCAGCAGCCGCGGUAAUACGGAGGAUGCGAGCGUUAUCCGGAUUUAUUGGGUUUAAAGGGUGCGUAGGCGGAAUGCCAAGUCAGCGGUAAAAGCACGGGGCUCAACCUCGCUCCGCCGUUGAAACUGGCGUUCUUGAGUGGGCUAGAAGUAUGCGGAAUGCGUGGUGGAGCGGUGAAAUGCGUAGAUAUUAGGAGGAACACCGGUGGCGAAGGCGGCUUACUGGACCGUAACUGACGUUGAGGCUCGAAAGCGUGGGGAGCAAACAGGAUUAGAUACCCGGGUAGGC
rnacentral:rRNA from 1 species